rnacentral:lncRNA from 1 species
AUAGCAACAGCAGCGUAGCUGAACAUCUUACGGAUGGCCCAGGGCUCCAAAGGCUCGUUUCCUAAGUGAGAGAGAGCCUGGCUGAAGCUGUAUUACCAUUCAUUCUCCAGCCUCCGAAGUCUCAAAGCAUCACUUCCACCAUACUCUAACUGUCAAGACAAACACAAAGGCCCAGAGAAGGGGUCUCACUAUGUUGUCUGGAGUGCUGUGGUGGAGUGGAGUGGCUAUUCACAGGAUUCUUGGAAUGGACUGUAAAAGUCUGGAAUCAAGACUUUGUGUUUCCUCUCUAACAUGUAAAGAGCUUAGAAGUUGUCGCUAUUGCCCUUACAACAAAAUGAAGCUGGACAAACUGAAAAUCAAUGACUUUUCUUGGACUCACUAUACAGCUGAGUUUGCAGAGUAAACCACUACCCUGAAAUCUGGAAAGGCAGGUGCACCCACAGAUCCUCAGCUGAGAUCCAAUUACCUGAAAUAGAAGCUGCCAUUAGGAACACUUAAAAGAGCCUGUUCUGCUGGGACACAGAAUCACUUGCUCCAUCUCAUACAUUGAUGAUGAUUAAUUUGUAUGUGUACCUUCCAAAAAAGAUGGUUGUGUUUGAAUGGAGGCCUUCUGGACAGGAAAAUUGCAAAGUACAAUUAACAUUUGAGUCUGUCUGAGUCAUGAAGAAAUGGAGAUUACUGAAAAUAAUUCAUUUUGGUAUCUUCUUACAUCCUGAGAGACUAAUCUUUCCAAGUUCAUCUGAGGCUCCUCUUCUCCAUGACAACCUCAUCCAGGGAUUUCUUCCUGUCCUGGUGUUUUAUGACAUAAUCACAUCCUUCCUGAGAUAAUGAGCACACAAUUGCCUGGAUACCUGAAGGAAUGGAGACAGCGGCAGAAAACACUGCAGAGAGGUGGAAACAUCCGUUAAUAUUUUAAAAUCCCAUUACUGCUACCAACAAUAAUAAUGGAUGCAUAGAAAUAGAUCUGGAUUAGCUGAGCUUGAAACAGUCCAUCUCACACACACACAAAAGAAUUUCAGAUACAGUGAACCCACAUGUUGAAGCUUUCUAGUAUAAUAAAAAUUUCAACUGUUCUGUUGAAUCAUCUGCCUGAUUGGAGGCUACAGAAAAGAUGUCAUCUUAGGAGUGCUUGCUCUGAGUGAGGCUCAUCUUCAAAUCUGAAUGACCACAAGGAGAUUUGAUUAUACAUGUGAACACCUCAGAAGGCACAGCCCACCCAGAAGGCAGACAGGUCAGGCUGCUUUUUCUUCAUUGCUUGGAUUCAAUCCUCCGGGCGGCUCAGGCUCAAACAUAACUUAAGCAUGAUUAAACUUUAGAAGAAGCUGCCAGGAAGACUGUGAAAUCUUCAUGCCCAAGGAUCCCUAAAAUUAGGAGCAACAACCACUUGGCUCAGACGGUUUAUGGAGGCAAAGGUUUGGAUGGGAUUAGAGAUUUCUAAAUGUGAGUUCGUGUCCUCUGCCAGACCACCUUACUUCCACCAUUCCUCAGCAAAUCAAGAAAAACAGGAGAAAAGACAUGCCUUUCCAUAAGUUAAAUCUAUUCUGUUUUAAUUCUAUAUUAUAUCUGCUGUACAACUUCUUUUGUUUGUAACACCAUAUUGUUGCUAGUAACUGGAAAUUAAUUUUCACAUGCCUCAGCUUAGAAAAAUAAAAAGCAGCCCUGCAUCAAUCCCAA